rnacentral:piRNA from 1 species
UUAUCAUUUAUCUUUAUGACUUUGGUUUC